AGCGAACGCUGGCGGCAGGCCUAACACAUGCAAGUCGAACGAACUCUUCGGAGUUAGUGGCGGACGGGUGAGUAACACGUGGGAACGUGCCUUUAGGUUCGGAAUAACUCAGGGAAACUUGUGCUAAUACCGAAUGUGCCCUUCGGGGGAAAGAUUUAUCGCCUUUAGAGCGGCCCGCGUCUGAUUAGCUAGUUGGUGAGGUAAAGGCUCACCAAGGCGACGAUCAGUAGCUGGUCUGAGAGGAUGAUCAGCCACAUUGGGACUGAGACACGGCCCAAACUCCUACGGGAGGCAGCAGAGGGGAAUCUUGCGCAAUGGGCGAAAGCCUGACGCAGCCAUGCCGCGUGAAUGAUGAAGGUCUUAGGAUUGUAAAAUUCUUUCACCGGGGACGAUAAUGACGGUACCCGGAGAAGAAGCCCCGGCUAACUUCGUG
rnacentral:rRNA from 1 species